GUCCUUUUGUUAAAAAUUUAAGGUCUCACCUGCCCAAUGAAUUUUAAAUGGCCGCGGUAUUUUGACCGUGCUAAGGUAGCAUAAUCAUUAGUUUUUUAAUUGAAAGCUGGAAUGAAGGGUUGGAUGAAAAAAUAGCUGUCUUUAGUUUAAUUAUUUUGAAUUUUAUUUUUAAGUUAAAAAGCUUAAAUAUUUUUAAAAGACGAGAAGACCCUAUAGAGUUUUAUAAUAUAAAUUUAUUAAAAUUUAGAAUUUAAUUUAUUUUAUAUUUAUUAUUAUUUAGUUGGGGUGAUUAAAAAAUUUAAUUAACUUUUUUUUUAUUUUUAUAUUUAUAAAUAAAUUUAUGAUCCUAUAAUUUAGAUUAAAAGAAUAAGUUACCUUAGGGAUAACAGCGUAAUUUUAUUUGAGAGUUCAAAUCGAAAAUAGAGAUUGCGA
rnacentral:rRNA from 1 species